UACGUAGGGGGCAAGCGUUGUCCGGAUUUACUGGGCGUAAAGGGCGCGUAGGCGGUCGUGACAAGUCACUUGUGAAAUCUCCGGGCUUAACUCGGAACGGUCAAGUGAUACUGUCGGACUAGAGUACAGAAGGGGCAACUGGAAUUCUCGGUGUAGCGGUGAAAUGCGUAGAUAUCGGGAGGAACACCAGUGGCGAAGGCGGCUUCCUGGCCCGAUACUGACGCUGAGGAGCGAAAGCAUGGGGAGCGAACAGG
rnacentral:rRNA from 1 species